GAAAUGCGAUAAGUAAUGUGAAUUGCAGAAUUCAGUGAAUCAUCGAAUCUUUGAACGCACAUUGCGCCCGCCAGCACUCUGGCGGGCAUGCCUGUUCGAGCGUCAUUUCAACCCUCAGAACCCCUUGCGGGAUCUGGCGUUGGGGAUUGGCAUCCAGCCAGCCCCGAAAUCUAGUGGCGGUCCCUCCGCGACCUCCCCUGUGCAGUAGCGAUACCUCGCAGCGGGACAGCGGUCUGACCACGCCGUAAAACCCCCAACUUCUCAAGGUUGACCUCGAAUCAGGUAGGAAUACCUGCUGAACUUAAGC
rnacentral:misc_RNA from 1 species